rnacentral:tRNA from 1 species
UGGGGAGUAUAGCUCAGCGGUAGAGUAUUUACCUAGCAUACACAAGGCCCUGAGUUCAAUUCCCAGCACCACAA